CAAUGUUGCCAGAUUCCUUUUAGCGGGAAUUUUAAAAUUUUAUAGCAGGUUUGUUUUAAAUUUGACAGUUCUGUUUUCUCAAGUCAAAAAUCUUAACCUUACUUUUACAAGUGAUUAGGAUUAUUAUUAUUAUUUUAUUUACAUGUAAAUUGAAACAAUAAAUAUUGUGCUGUGUCAUAAUUUCAAACUCAUUAUGUUGCAGUCUUUUCCAGUUGAUAAAAUUGCAAUUCAAAAACUUUUAGAUUUGCACUGUAUGGAUGGCACAGGAAGAGAACAAAGAGUACAAGAACAUGAAACAUCUUAUUAUGAAUGUAUAUGUAUGUGAUCCUCAAAAAAUUAUUUUACAAAACAAGAUAGAGAAAGAGUUUAUUUGGUGUACUAGUCGAAUAAUAGUAUCUAAAAAUAUUGAAACUAUUUUAAAACACAUUACAGGCAUGAGGAUGAUAUAGAGCACUUACAUAAAUACCAAAAUCAGAUAAAUAUCUCUUCAAAGUUUAUUUUGAGACUUUCUUCAAAAAUUAAACUUCAGACUGUUCAGGAUAGCAUAAUAGCAUAGGAGGCGAAUUAAAAAGAAUUGAUUUACUUACAAAGAAAAGAUAUCACAAACAUUAAACUCUCUUAUGGCAUUGAUUUGAAAGAUGGGUAUAUGUACAAUGAUGAUGCAACCAGUGUUUAUUUUUGGGUUGAAUGCUUACAGACUUAUGUCCAAUAUUAUUUUACAAACAACAGGGCAUACUAAUGGAUAUUCAUUCUGAAUUUAACAUUUAUGAUUUUUGUCUUAUUUUCCUUAAUACUGUGCCAAAAGGAAAUGUUAAUUAAGUUUGGUAAAUCCUGUAUCGCAAUCGAUGGAACUCAUGGGCUCAAUUCCUAUGACUUUGAACUUAUGACAGUAUUAGUAAAAGAUGAAUUUGGGAAUGGAUUUUGUACUGCUUUCUUAUUUUCAAAUAGAAAAGAUACCUACUUUAAUUUACCAAUUUUUUUAAAUACAUGUCUGUGUUGGUAUUAUAGUCAAAUGUUUUCAUAUCAGGCAUAAGCGACACCUUUUACAACGCCUCGUCAAAUGUAAUGGGUAUUGCUCCUAAUAGACUGUUAAGUGCCUGGCACAUAGAUAAGGCAUGGUAAGUAAAUUUUAAUAAAAUAUCUGAUUCUGAAAAAAAUCCUAUUAUGUAUACAAGAUGUAUUAAUGAUGGUUUAGAGAGUAUUAAUAGCUUUUUGGGUAGACUUCUAAGUGAUGCAGAUACAUACAAUUUUAGUAAGUAUUUCCAGUAGAACUACUGCAAUAACAUCCAACAAUGGGCCUAUUGUUAUAGGAAGGGGUUGUGGAAUUAAUACCAAUAUGACCAUUCAAAAUUUUCAUAAAAUUUUGGAUAAAAGGGUAUCCAUUAGUUGUUAUCAGUUAAGUUUAAAACUUGGCACUCAUGGAGAGCUAUACCAUAAUAUAUAAUAGGUAUAUCUCAUAAUAUUACAUCUCAUAUUGUUCACUACAGUAGUAAUGAGUGAGCCUGCGUACACAGAACCAUAAUAAUAUAUUAGUUCGUGUAUGCAGGCUCACUCAUUACAAUAGUGAGCGAUAUGAGAUAUAACAUAUUAUAGUAUAAGUCUCUGUGCAUGACCAGAUUAACACGUUUGGUACCCAUCUCGAACAAGCUCCACUUGGCUGGUACCACAUACUUAAAUCAUUUAUUUAGUUACACAGUACUACUCACAUAACUUAUGUGUCAUAAAAAAGUACCUUCGGUAAAACCUUCGUGAUGCUACGUCAUGGCCACUGAAUGUGUUAAAGCUUGUUAAUGUAGGAGAGUUAUACUAAAAUAUAUAUCGCCUAUUAUAUUGCCUUAAAUAGAAAAAUAUCUUAUUUAAAUUGUAUCCAUGUAAGUUUUGAUUUAAUGAAAUAAACCUUUUAAUCAAAAAAGUGUUGUUUACUUGUGUACACCCAGCAAUAUCCUGAUCAUAGAUAAAUAAUAUAGUAUUACUGGAUCCUGAUAUGCAGACGCCAAUAGGGCUUUUCAUCGAUUGUCAUUUGUUUCGAGCUUCUGUCAUGAGUCACAUAAUAUUAAUGUAUCUACGUCAUACGUCUU